AGCGUUCUUGCUCAAGACCAUCUAUUGGGCGCUGCACUUGGAAGCAUACUCACCGGAAUCUGACGAAGCAUACUCAGGACCGGAGAUCCAAUUUUGGCGUGGAAAUCGAGGAUCGGAGAUAUGCAAUUCUUCAGAUCCCGGGGAAUGCUCCAACCGACGGAGAUUGAGGUGGACUCGAGUUAUGGUGUGUGUGUGUGUGAGAGAGAGAGAGAGGGUGUGUUUUUUAGGUUAUUUUAGGAAGUCUAAAAAGAUGGGAGAUGAAAUAUUAUUAAAAAAAUAAAAGGGUGUGCAGUUUGUAAAUUUGGGUGUGCAAAUUUCACCCCCUAAAAUUAAAUGUCAAAAAGUUUUGGCUAGCAAAGCUUUAUUGAACAUCUCCAUCUCUCUUAAACCCAAAGCACAAUUUCUCCCGUAUGCACCAAUGCAUCCUUUUUUUUUUUAAAAUUUUUUUUAUCUCCACCCGUUCCUCACCAAAACCUGGUAAUUUUGGCAAUCUAAGGACACUCAUGGUAUGAGUGGGUGUUGCGUGAGCCACUGCUUUCACUAAAAUCAUCUUCCCUACUGCUUUUGAGAGAAAUUUGCUAUGCCAAUUCUCCAUGUGGCGAUCCAAUCUUCUGCUUUAUUCCUCCCUCUCAUAGUUGCCUCUCAUUUGGUACAAUUUAAUUUAAGUAGAUUUAUUAUGCAUGAAACUAAAGGAAAAGAAAAGAAGAAGAAGAAGAAGAAGAAGAAGAAGGAGGAUGAGCUAUUGACAAAAAAAAAUAAAAAAGUUUCACUCCUAAUAGUCUAAUACCUUUCUUGGGAAUAGCUCCCUGUAAAAUUAGGCCGUAACUUCUAUUUGAGUCUGCCUAGGAACUAAAAGGGCCCAACCCAAGACCGUAUGUCCGAGUCUAUGUAAAGGCAUAGCUACAGCUAAACGAACCCUAAAAUCAGAAAAAAGUCCCGCAAUCUAGAAAAAUUCCCAAUUCUCUCUGCGAAUCAUGGCAUGGUCCAAGGGGUUCUUUGCUCUCUAUGGCUCCGUUGCGGCAGUCGGGCUUUUAGGCAACGCUGUAAUCUGCACAGCUAUCAGUCGACACGCGCUAAAAAGAUGGAUCGCUAUGAACGAGCGAGUUCUCAUGGGAAGAGGCGUGGAUAUCGCUAAGUUUCGCAAAUGAACCCGACUACUUCUGGCUUGAUGUAAUUAUAACUACAUAAAUGUUGUGAGGAUAUCUCAUGGCUUAGUUCCGUUUUGUACCUUAAUUUUAUGGGAAUGCCGUGUAAGACAGUAAACUUGUCUGGAUAAGUAUCAAAAUCUAUCUGAUGAUUGGUUUAAUAGGGUGUUUUUUUUA